rnacentral:rRNA from 1 species
CACGUAGGGCGCAAGCGUUGUCCGGAAUUAUUGGGCGUAAAGAGCUCGUAGGCGGACUGUCACGUCUGCUGUGAAAAGCUAGGGCUUAACCCUGGCCUUGCAGUGGAUACGGGCAGACUAGAGGUAGGUAGGGGAGAAUGGAAUUCCCGGUGUAGCGGUGAAAUGCGCAGAUAUCGGGAGGAACACCGGUGGCGAAGGCGGUCCUCUGGGCCUUACCUGACGCUGAGGAGCGAAAGCGUGGGGAGCGAACAGG